GGAUCAGUGAUGACUCCCAUAAAUGCAUUCCUUCGAAACCUGAACAAAAUGAAUGAGCAAUACCUACCAUCUUCUGAUCCUAACUGAGGUCC
ensembl:snoRNA SNORD116 Small nucleolar RNA SNORD116